rnacentral:rRNA from 1 species
CCUACGGGUGGCUGCAGUGGGGAAUAUUGGACAAUGGGGGCAACCCUGAUCCAGCCAUGCCGCGUGUGUGAAGAAGGCCCUCGGGUUGUAAAGCACUUUCAGUGAGGAAGAACGCCUGGUGGUUAAUACCCAUCAGGAAAGACAUCACUCACAGAAGAAGCACCGGCUAACUCCGUGCCAGCAGCCGCGGUAAUACGGAGGGUGCGAGCGUUAAUCGGAAUUACUGGGCGUAAAGCGCACGUAGGUGGCUUGAUAAGCCGGUUGUGAAAGCCCCGGGCUCAACCUGGGAACGGCAUCCGGAACUGUCAAGCUAGAGUGCAGGAGAGGAAGGUAGAAUUCCCGGUGUAGCGGUGAAAUGCGUAGAGAUCGGGAGGAAUACCAGUGGCGAAGGCGGCCUUCUGGACUGACACUGACACUGAGGUGCGAAAGCGUGGGUAGCAAACAGGAUUAGAUACCCGUGUAGUC